CAGCAGCCGCGGUAAGACAGAGGAUGCAGGCGUUAUCCGGAAUGAUUGGGCGUAAAGCGUCUGUAGGUGGCUUUUCAAGUCCGCUGUCAAAUCCCAGGGCUCAACCCUGGACAGGCGGUGGAAACUACCAAGCUAGAGUACGGUAGGGGCAGAGGGAAUUUCCAGUGGAGCGGUGAAAUGCGUUGAGAUCGGAAAGAACACCAACGGCGAAAGCACUCUGCUGGGCCGACACUGACACUGAGAGACGAAAGCUAGGGGAGCAAAUGGGAUUAGAUACCCGUGUAGUCCCUGUCUCUUAUAC
rnacentral:rRNA from 1 species